UGACGGGGACCCGCGCAAGCGGUGGAUGAUGUGGUUUAAUUCGAUGCAACGCGAAAAACCUUACCUACCCUUGACAUGGCAGGAAUCCUGAAGAGAUUUGGGAGUGCUCGAAAGAGAACCUGCACACAGGUGCUGCAUGGCCGUCGUCAGCUCGUGUCGUGAGAUGUUGGGUUAAGUCCCGCAACGAGCGCAACCCUUGUCAUUAGUUGCUACGAAAGGGCACUCUAAUGAGACUGCCGGUGACAAACCGGAGGAAGGUGGGGAUGACGUCAAGUCCUCAUGGCCCUUAUAGGUGGGGCUACACACGUCAUACAAUGGCCGGUACAAAGGGCAGCCAACCCGCGAGGGGGGGCCAAUCCCAUAAAGCCGGUCGUAGUCCGGAUCGUAGUCUGCAACUCGACUGCGUGAAGUCGGAAUCGCUAGUAAUCGCGGAUCAGCUUGCCGCGGUGAAUACGUUCCCGGGUCUUGUACACACCGCCCGUCACACCAUGGGAGCGGGUUCUGCCAGAAGUAGUUAGCCUAACCGUAAGGAGGGCGAUUGCCACGGCAGGGUUCAUGACUGGGGUGAAGUCGUAACAAGGUAACCA
rnacentral:rRNA from 1 species